rnacentral:rRNA from 1 species
AACGAACGCUGGCGGCAUGCCUAACACAUGCAAGUCGAACGAGACCUUCGGGUCUAGUGGCGCACGGGUGCGUAACGCGUGGGAACCUGCCUUUAGGUUCGGAAUAACUCAGAGAAAUUUGAGCUAAUACCGGAUGAUGUCUUCGGACCAAAGAUUUAUCGCCUUUAGAUGGGCCCGCGUAAGAUUAGCUAGUUGGUGGGGUAAAGGCCUACCAAGGCGACGAUCUUUAGCUGGUCUGAGAGGAUGAUCAGCCACACUGGGACUGAGACACGGCCCAGACCCCUACGGGAGGCAGCAGUGGGGAAUAUUGGACAAUGGGCGAAAGCCUGAUCCAGCAAUGCCGCGUGAGUGAUGAAGGCCUUCAGGUCGUAAAGCUCUUUUACCAGGGA